GGAUGUGAGGGUGUUCUGGCUGCGACAUCUGUCAUCCCGUUGAUCGCCAGGGUUGAUUCGGCUGAUCUGGCUGGCUAGGUGGGUGUCCCCUUCCUACCUCACCACUCCAUGUGCGUCCCUCCCGAAGCUGCGUGCUCGGUCAAAGAGGACGACCUUCCCCGAUAGAGGAGGACCGUUCUUCAGUCAAGGGUAUAGGAGUAGCUGCGCUCCCCUGCUAGAACCUCCAAACAAGCUCUCAAGAUAGUUGGAAUUUUAUAGGCCUUUCAUUGACUUUGUCUUCCAGUCCUGCACAUGGAAUGUCGUCCUAUUUAU
rnacentral:snRNA from 1 species